UGCCAGACUCCUACGGGAGGCAGCAGUGGGGAAUAUUGGACAAUGGGGGGAACCCUGAUCCAGCGACGCCGCGUGAGCGAUGAAGUAUUUCGGUAUGUAAAGCUCUAUCAGCAGGGAAGAAAAUGACGGUACCUGACUAAGAAGCCCCGGCUAACUACGUGCCAGCAGCCGCGGUAAUACGUAGGGGGCAAGCGUUAUCCGGAUUUACUGGGUGUAAAGGGAGCGUAGACGGCUGUGCAAGCCAGAUGUGAAAGCCCGGGGCUCAACCCCGGGACUGCAUUUGGAACUGUGUGGCUGGAGUGUCGGAGAGGCAGGCGGAAUUCCUAGUGUAGUGGUGAAAUGCGUAGAUAUUAGGAGGAACACCAGUGGUGAAGGCGGCCUGCUGGACGAUGACUGACGUUGAGGCUCGAAAGCGUGGGGAGCAAACAGGAUUAGAUACCCUUGUA
rnacentral:rRNA from 1 species